GAUGAACGCUGGCGGCGUGCCUAAUACAUGCAAGUCGAGCGAACAGAUGAGGAGCUUGCUCCUCUGACGUUAGCGGCGGACGGGUGAGUAACACGUGGAUAACCUACCUAUAAGACUGGGAUAACUUCGGGAAACCGGAGCUAAUACCGGAUAAUAUAUUGAACCGCAUGGUUCAAUAGUGAAAGACGGUUUUGCUGUCACUUAUAGAUGGAUCCGCGCCGCAUUAGCUAGUUGGUAAGGUAACGCCUUACCAAGGCGACGAUGCGUAGCCGACCUGAGAGGGUGAUCGGCCACACUGGAACUGAGACACGGUCCAGACUCCUACGGGAGGCAGCAGUAGGGAAUCUUCCGCAAUGGGCGAAAGCCUGACGGAGCAACGCCGCGUGAGUGAUGAAGGUCUUCGGAUCGUAAAACUCUGUUAUUAGGGAAGAACAAAUGUGUAAGUAACUAUGCACGUCUUGACGGUACCUAAUCAGAAAGCCACGGCUAACUACGUG
rnacentral:rRNA from 1 species